rnacentral:rRNA from 1 species
AAACUAACAAGGAUUCCCCUAGUAGCGGCGAGCGAAGCGGGAAGAGCUCAAAUUUAUAAUCUGGCACCUUCGGUGUCCGAGUUGUAAUCUCUAGAAGUGUUUUCCGCGUUGGACCGCACACAAGUCUGUUGGAAUACAGCGGCAUAGUGGUGAGACCCCCGUAUAUGGUGCGGACGCCCAACGCUUUGUGAUACACUUUCGAAGAGUCGAGUUGUUUGGGAAUGCAGCUCAAAUUGGGUGGUAAAUUCCAUCUAAAGCUAAAUAUUGGCGAGAGACCGAUAGCGAACAAGUACCGUGAGGGAAAGAUGAAAAGCACUUUGGAAAGAGAGUUAACAGUACGUGAAAUUGUUGGAAGGGAAACGCUUGAAGUCAGACUUGCUUGCCGAGCAAUCGGUUUGCAGGCCAGCAUCAGUUUUCCGGGGUGGAUAAUGGUAGAGAGAAGGUAGCAGUUUCGGCUGUGUUAUAGCUCUCUGCUGGAUACACCUUGGGGGACUGAGGAACGCAGUGUGCCUUACGGCGGAUUUCUCGAGAUCUUCACACUUAGGAUGCU